rnacentral:rRNA from 1 species
AUAUUAAAAUUGUUGCAGUUAAAAAGCUCGUAGUUGAAUUUCUGCUGCAUCGCCGCGGCCCCACGGGCCCGGCGUUGCGGCUUAUUUCGGACUUGCGUGCAUCUCCGAAUGUUUACUUUGAGAAAAUUAGAGUGCUCAAAGCAGGCCCUUGCCUUGAAUACUUUAGCAUGGAAUAAUAAAGUAGGACUUUGGUUCUAUUUUGUUGGUUUAGCACCAAAGUAAUGGUUAAUAGGAACAGUUGGGGGCAUUCGUAUUUAACUGUCAGAGGUGAAAUUCUUAGAUUUGUUAAAGACGAACUACUGCGAAAGCAUUUGCCAAGGAUGUUUUCAUUAAUCAAGAACGAAAGUUAGGGGAUCGAAGACGAUCAGAUACCGUCGUAGUCCUAACCAUAAACUAUGCC